rnacentral:misc_RNA from 1 species
UGCACUUGCUUCAGGACCUUG